GGGCCCGCACAAGCAGUGGAGCAUGUGGUUUAAUUCGAUGCAACGCGAAGAACCUUACCUAGGCUUGAAAAGCAUUCUAAACCUGUGAAAGCAGGGUACCCGCAAGGGGGGAUGUACAGGUGCUGCAUGGCUGUCGUCAGCUCGUGCCGUGAGGUGUUUGGUUAAGUCCAGCAACGAGCGCAACCCCUAGAUUCAGUUGCCAGCACGUAAUGGUGGGAACUCUGGAUCGACUGCCUACGCAAGUAGUGAGGAAGGUGGGGACGACGUCAAGUCAUCAUGGCCCUUACGCCUAGGGCUACACACGUGCUACAAUGGCAUCUACAGCGCGCAGCAAGACCGUGAGGUGGAGCGAAUCGCUAAAAAGAUGUCUCAGUUCAGAUCGGAGUCUGCAACCCGACUCCGUGAAGUUGGAAUUGCUAGUAAUCGCGAGUCAGCACAUCGCGGUGAAUACGUUCCCGGGCCUU
rnacentral:rRNA from 1 species